GCAGAGACAUGGGGUUGUAAAGCUCCUUAAAAUGAGUGAAAUGUUUGUUGGGUCAUUUUCAUGAAAAUAAAUCCAU